UAAAAAACAAAGAAGCUUCCAUGCGAGCAGCCCAGACAAGGGUAGCCUUUUCCAUCCGAGCAAAUUGUGCAGCAGGAACGAGAUCUACAAACAACAAUUAAAAACCCUGAUGAUGACUGCAAGCUGUACAUUCUUAUUGUGCUGAUGGUUUGUGUGCUCCUUUACUCUUUUCACGUUUUCUCAGACAGCAAGAAACCCUGGUCUGUAGCAGAAAGGUCACACAAGUGAAGAUGAGAAAGAUGCUGGAGAGCUUCAGAGGGGGUGAGCCAUCAGAGCAACCUAUAUGGAGGAGCAAAAGGUCUGUGAGGGAUAACUGAGGCCACUACACAUGAAUUCCUCCACUGGAGGGAUGUGAUAGAGACAGAGAGAGAGCUCUGUAUGUGUUGCAGUCACUUUGAGAGAGUUUCCCAACUUUCCUCCCCCAGCUGCAUAUCAAGACCAGAAGACGCAGGACCCCAGCAGACCAAGAAUCUCCAGCAAUCUCGUGGCUGCAGAUACUUCUGGGACUGAUGGCUGAUAUGAACAAAUAUUUAGGAGAUUAAAAAACCCCUCUGUGUAUAAACUUGGAGCUCAGUGAGGUAAAUGGGGAAGCUGGAAUUCACAAACAUCACUGCUAGUCCCAUGAACAGUUGAAGUCAACAGGUCUGAAACUCAGUGUGUAUGAAACCGACUGUGCAAACACAUAAACAGUCACUUAAAAUGACAUUUGCAACUUAGAGGUAAGAAUACUUACAGAAAUUAUUCCAUUUGAGCAAAUUCGCCUUUCCCAGAAAGACCCUUCUGAGUCACUUGAAACUUCAUAUCUGACAAGGGAGAGGGAAAACCAGCUAAGAGCAGCCUGAAGCAACCAAGAUCACUUGGUCAAGUGCAAGAUCUGGGUUGUGACAACAAAAGGGGCUGUUACGUGGCAACUGAUGAGAAGCAGGAGCGUGUUUGGCUUACAGCAGCACUAAAGUAAACAGGAGCAUGACCUCUGUUCAAUCCUGAUGUGUUGAAGCAACUUCUUGAUAACUUGCAUCUCAUCUGCUUCACAACUAAAGCCAUAAUCUAUCUAGGAGAGGAGAGAAGAGGUUACUCCAGAAAGAUUUGCCCUUAUUCAGAGACACAUAA